UACAGAGGUGGCGAGCGUUGUUCGGAUUUACUGGGCGUAAAGGGCGCGUAGGCGGUUCGGUAUGUCGAGUGUGAAAUCUCCAGGCUCAACCUGGAAAGUGCGCUCGAAACUGCUGAACUAGAGCAUGGGAAGGGAGAGCGGAAUACACGGUGUAGCGGUGAAAUGCGUUGAUAUCGUGUAGAACACCGGUGGCGAAGGCGGCUCUCUGGAACAUGUCUGACGCUGAGGCGCGAAAGUUGGGGGAGCAAACAGG
rnacentral:rRNA from 1 species